rnacentral:rRNA from 1 species
UACAGAGGUCUCAAGCGUUGUUCGGAUUCAUUGGGCGUAAAGGGUGCGUAGGUGGCUCUGUAAGUCAGGUGUGAAAUUUCGGAGCUUAACUCCGAAACUGCAUUUGAUACUGCGGUGCUUGAGGACUGGAGAGGAGAUUGGAAUUCACGGUGUAGCAGUGAAAUGCGUAGAUAUCGUGAGGAAGACCAGUGGCGAAGGCGGAUCUCUGGACAGUUCCUGACACUGAGGCACGAAGGCCAGGGGAGCAAACGGG